rnacentral:rRNA from 1 species
UAGUAACGGCGAGUGAAGCGGCAAGAGCUCAAAUUUGAAAUCUGGCCCUCUCAGGGUCCGAGUUGUAAUUUGUAGAGGGCGCUUUGGCGUUGGCCCCGGCCUAAGUUCCUUGGAACAGGACGUCACAGAGGGUGAGAACCCCGUACGUGGCCGCCGGCCUCCGCCGUGUAAAGCCCCUUCGACGAGUCGAGUUGUUUGGGAAUGCAGCUCUAAAUGGGAGGUAAAUUUCUUCUAAAGCUAAAUACUGGCCAGAGACCGAUAGCGCACAAGUAGAGUGAUCGAAAGAUGAAAAGCACUUUGGAAAGAGAGUCAAAAAGCACGUGAAAUUGUUGAAAGGGAAGCGCUUGCAGCCAGACUUGCCUGUAGUUGCUCAUCCGAGCUCCCGCUCGGUGCACUCUUCUGCGGGCAGGCCAGCAUCAGUCCGGGCGGUCGGAUAAAGGCCUCGGGAAUGUAGCUCCCCUCGGGGAGUGUUAUAGCCCGGGGCGCCAUGCGACCAGCCUGGACUGAGGUCCGCGCAUCUGCUAGGAUGCUGGCGUAAUGGCUGUAAGCGGCCCGUCUUGAAACACGGACCAAGGAGUCUAACAUCUAUGCGAGUGUUUGGGUGUCAAGCCCGGGCGCGCAAUGAAAGUGAACGGAGGUGGGAACCCCUCGGGGCGCACCAUCGACCGAUCCUGAUGUCUUCGGAUGGAUUUGAGUAAGAGCAUAGCUGUUGGGACCCGAAAGAUGGUGAACUAUGCCUGAAUAGGGUGAAGCCAGAGGAAACUCUGGUGGAGGCUCGCAGCGGUUCUGACGUGCAAAUCGAUCGUCAAAUUUGGGCAUAGGGGCGAAAGACUAAUCGAACUA